rnacentral:rRNA from 1 species
GCAAGUCGAACGAGUACGGACUUCGGUCCAUAUGUACGAGUGGCGAACGGGUGAGUAACACGUGAGAAACCUGCCUCGGAGACCGGGACAACCGUGGGAAACUACGGCUAAUACCGGAUGUCCUCUUUUGGUCGCAUGGCCAGCUGAGGAAAUGAUCCGUCGCUCCGGGAGGGUCUCGCGGCCUAUCAGCUUGUUGGUGAGGUAACGGCUCACCAAGGCAUCGACGGGUAGCUGGUCUGAGAGGACGAUC